rnacentral:rRNA from 1 species
GCCCGGGAGGGGCCCGCGUCCGAUUAGCUGGUUGGUGGGGUAACGGCCCACCAAGGCUCUGAUCGGUAGCUGUCUGAGAGGACGAUCAGCCACACUGGGACUGAGACACGGCCCAGACUCCUACGGGAGGCAGCAGUGGGGAAUCUUGGACAAUGGGCGAAAGCCUGAUCCAGCGACGCCGCGUGGGUGAUGAAGGCCUUCGGGUUGUAAAGCCCUUUCGACGGGGACGAUGAUGACGGUACCCGGCGAAGAAGCACCGGCUAACUCCGUGCCAGCAGCCGCGGUAAUA